rnacentral:rRNA from 1 species
ACAGGGGGAUAACAGUUGGAAACGGCUGCUAAUACCGCAUAAGCGCACAGCAUCGCAUGAUGCAGUGUGAAAAACUCCGGUGGUAUAAGAUGGACCCGCGUUGGAUUAGCUAGUUGGUGAGGUAACGGCCCACCAAGGCGACGAUCCAUAGCCGACCUGAGAGGGUGACCGGCCACAUUGGGACUGAGACACGGCCCAAACUCCUACGGGAGGCAGCAGUGGGGAAUAUUGCACAAUGGGCGAAAGCCUGAUGCAGCGACGCCGCGUGAGCGAAGAAGUAUUUCGGUAUGUAAAGCUCUAUCAGCAGGGAAGAUAAUGACGGUACCUGACUAAGAAGCACCGGCUAAAUACGUGCCAGCAGCCGCGGUAAUACGUAUGGUGCAAGCGUUAUCCGGAUUUACUGGGUGUAAAGGGAGCGCAGGCGGUGCGGCAAGUCUGAUGUGAAAGCCCGGGGCUCAACCCCGGUACUACAUUGGAAACUGUCGUACUAGAGUGUCGGAGGGGUGAGCGGAAUUCCUAGUGUAGCGGUGAAAUGCGUAGAUAUUAGGAGGAACACCAGUGGCGAAGGCGGCUUACUGGACGAUAACUGACGCUGAGGCUCGAAAGCGUGGGGAGCAAACAGGAUUAGAUACCCUGGUAGUCCACGCCGUAAACGA